CACGUAGGGCGCAAGCGUUGUCCGGAAUUAUUGGGCGUAAAGAGCUCGUAGGCGGUCUGUUACGUCUGCUGUGAAAACCCAGGGCUUAACCCUGGGCUUGCAGUGGAUACGGGCAGACUAGAGGCAGGUAGGGGAGAAUGGAAUUCCCGGUGUAGCGGUGAAAUGCGCAGAUAUCGGGAGGAACACCGGUGGCGAAGGCGGUUCUCUGGGCAUUACCUGACGCUGAGGAGCGAAAGUGUGGGGGAGCGAACAGG
rnacentral:rRNA from 1 species